AACGCUGGCGGCGUGCCUAAUACAUGCAAGUCGAGCGGACAGAUGGGAGCUUGCUCCCUGAUGUUAGCGGCGGACGGGUGAGUAACACGUGGGUAACCUGCCUGUAAGACUGGGAUAACUCCGGGAAACCGGGGCUAAUACCGGAUGGUUGUUUGAACCGCAUGGUUCAAACAUAAAAGGUGGCUUCGGCUACCACUUACAGAUGGACCCGCGGCGCAUUAGCUAGUUGGUGAGGUAACGGCUCACCAAGGCAACGAUGCGUAGCCGACCUGAGAGGGUGAUCGGCCACACUGGGACUGAGACACGGCCCAGACUCCUACGGGAGGCAGCAGUAGGGAAUCUUCCGCAAUGGACGAAAGUCUGACGGAGCAACGCCGCGUGAGUGAUGAAGGUUUUCGGAUCGUAAAGCUCUGUUGUUAGGGAAGAACAAGUACCGUUCGAAUAGGGCGGUACCUUGACGGUACCUAACCAGAAAGCCACGGCUAACUACGUGCCAGCAGCCGCGGUAAUACGUAGGUGGCAAGCGUUGUCCGGAAUUAUUGGGCGUAAAGGGCUCGCAGGCGGUUUCUUAAGUCUGAUGUGAAAGCCCCCGGCUCAACCGGGGAGGGUCAUUGGAAACUGGGGAACUUGAGUGCAGAAGAGGAGAGUGGAAUUCCACGUGUAGCGGUGAAAUGCGUAGAGAUGUGGAGGAACACCAGUGGCGAAGGCGACUCUCUGGUCUGUAACUGACGCUGAGGAGCGAAAGCGUGGGGAGCGAACAGGAUUAGAUACCCUGGUAGUCCACGCCGUAAACGAUGAGUGCUAAGUGUUAGGGGGUUUCCGCCCCUUAGUGCUGCAGCUAACGCAUUAAGCACUCCGCCUGGGGAGUACGGUCGCAAGACUGAAACUCAAAGGAAUUGACGGGGGCCCGCACAAGCGGUGGAGCAUGUGGUUUAAUUCGAAGCAACGCGAAGAACCUUACCAGGUCUUGACAUCCUCUGACAAUCCUAGAGAUAGGACGUCCCCUUCGGGGGCAGAGUGACAGGUGGUGCAUGGUUGUCGUCAGCUCGUGUCGUGAGAUGUUGGGUUAAGUCCCGCAACGAGCGCAACCCUUGAUCUUAGUUGCCAGCAUUCAGUUGGGCACUCUAAGGUGACUGCCGGUGACAAACCGGAGGAAGGUGGGGAUGACGUCAAAUCAUCAUGCCCCUUAUGACCUGGGCUACACACGUGCUACAAUGGACAGAACAAAGGGCAGCGAAACCGCGAGGUUAAGCCAAUCCCACAAAUCUGUUCUCAGUUCGGAUCGCAGUCUGCAACUCGACUGCGUGAAGCUGGAAUCGCUAGUAAUCGCGGAUCAGCAUGCCGCGGUGAAUACGUUGCCGGCCUUGUACACCCGCCCGUCACACCCGAGAGUUAGUAACACCGGAAGUGGUGAGGUAACCUU
rnacentral:rRNA from 1 species